AAAUUGAAGAGUUUGAUCAUGGCUCAGAUUGAACGCUGGCGGCAGGCCUAACACAUGCAAGUCGAACGGUAACAGGAAACAGCUUGCUGUUUCGCUGACGAGUGGCGAACGGGUGAGUAAUGUCUGGGAAACUGCCUGAUGGAGGGGGAUAACUACUGGAAACGGUAGCUAAUACCGCAUAACGUCGCAAGACCAAAGAGGGGGACCUUCGGGCCUCUUGCCAUCGGAUGUGCCCAGAUGGGAUUAGCUAGUAGGUGGGGUAACGGCUCACCUAGGCGACGAUCCCUAGCUGGUCUGAGAGGAUG
rnacentral:rRNA from 1 species